AUGAACCGCUCCAAGAACGGGGCAACCUCUGUUGCUGACCUUACAGAUGACCUUAUCAUCGAGAUUCUGUCCCUGCUGCCAGUCAAGUCAGUGUGCCGAUUCAAGUGUGUCUCCCGGCUCUGGUACAGCCUCAUCUCCCACCCUGAACACCGCAAAAGGCUUCCCCAGACCAUCUCCGGCUUCUUCUACCCCAAGCACAGACUCAAUGAUGAGUAUGAUGUGAUAACAUUUCCCACUUUUGAUGGUAUUUCAAGGGAUCAAGAGCAGCUAUUCCCUGAUUCCUCGUUGCCCUUCUUGACCGCAUACAGGCAGAUUUUCCCAAAGGACUGCUGCAAUGGCCUUAUUUUCUGCCUCUGCUGGAAGGACUCCCCAAUAGACGAAGCCGAUUAUGUGGUAUGCAAUCCUGCCACUGAGGAAUGGGUAGUCCUGCCUGAUGCUGGCCAUAAAAGUGAUGCAAUAGCCUACCGUUUGGGUUUCGAUGGAGCCAUGUCACUCCACUUCCAUGUGUUCCAGAUCCUAGAGGAUGAUGAGGACUAUGGAUAUAUCUCAGGUGUUAAUAUCUACUCAUCAGAGACAGGAGCCUGGAGUUACAAGGAAAAUGGUUGGGGCGACAAUGAGAUUCAGAUAGUUGAGAUGAGAGGUCUUUUUCAAUGGAAUGAUGCACUUGCUCACACGUGA
rnacentral:rRNA from 1 species